rnacentral:rRNA from 1 species
UACGUAGGGGGCAAGCGUUGUCCGGAAUUACUGGGCGUAAAGGGCUCGUAGGCGGCCAACUAAGUCAGACGUGAAAUCCCUCGGCUUAACCGGGGAACUGCGUCUGAUACUGGAUGGCUUGAAUCCGGGAGAGGGAUGCGGAAUUCCAGGUGUAGCGGUGAAAUGCGUAGAUAUCUGGAGGAACACCGGUGGCGAAGGCGACAUCCUGGACCGGUAUUGACGCUGAGUGAGCGAAAGCCAGGGGAGCAAACGGG